rnacentral:rRNA from 1 species
CAGCAGUCGCCGCGGUAAUACGUAGGGCGCAAGCGUUGUCCGGAAUUAUUGGGCGUAAAGAGCUCGUAGGCGGUCUGUCGCGUCUGGUGUGAAAUCCCGAGGCUCAACCUCGGGCUUGCAUCGGGUACGGGCAGACUAGAGUGCGGUAGGGGAGACUGGAAUUCCUGGUGUAGCGGUGGAAUGCGCAGAUAUCAGGAGGAACACCGAUGGCGAAGGCAGGUCUCUGGGCCGCAACUGACGCUGAGGAGCGAAAGCAUGGGGAGCGAACAGGAUUAGAUACCCCGGUAGUCCCUGUCUCUUAUAC